GACGAACGCUGGCGGCGUGCUUAACACAUGCAAGUCGAACGGAAAGGCCUGCUUUCCCUUGUGGAUUGCGGGUGCUCGAGUGGCGAACGGGUGAGUAACACGUGAGUGAUCUGCCCCCAACUUGGGUAUAAGCCUGGGAAACUGGGUCUAAUUCCCGAUAGGACUGCAGGGUGGUGCCUGUGGUGGAAAACGAUUUUCUAGUGGUUGGGGAUGAGCUCGCGGCCUAUCAGCUUGUUGGUGGGGUAAUGGCCUACCAAGGCGGCGACGGGUAGCCGGCCUGGGAGGGGGGACGGCGACAUUGGGACUGGGAUACGACCCAGACGCCUACGGGAGGCAGCAGUGGGGAAUAUUGCACAAUGGGCGGAAGCCUGAUGCAGCGACGCCGCGUGGAGGAUGACGGCCUUCGGGUUGUAAACUCCUUUCGACCGCGAGGAAGCCACCUGGUUGGGAGGGUGGUGACGGUAGUGGAAGAAGAAGCACCGGCUAACUACGUG
rnacentral:rRNA from 1 species